AAAAAAGCGUUUAAACCUAGCUGGACCUGGCACCCAGACCACUUCAUUAAGUGGGUGCCUAUAGUGGUUCUUUAAUUGAUUAUCCCUCCAUUUCCGUUUUAUACGUUCUGUUUUUCUUUUAUCACGAAGCGCUUUAAUGAAGAAUCUAUCACCGUUUAAAACCAAACUGCAAUAUAAUCGAGAUAGGUUAAAAAAAACAAACAAAAAAAACAAAACACUUUUUAUUGCAUGAUGUAGAAAGCCUUAAUUAUCAUUGCUGAUAAGAGUUUAAAAAAUUGCACUUAUUUGUAAUUGGAAAUGGUCACAUACUUUUCCAUAACACAGAUCGUAACUCGAUAACAUGAACAUACCUCUAUUUUAAUUAGAC